GGGGUAGACAAGACAAUGGAUGACAAAGGUUUAAAACUCGGCAUUCACGUUGUUGUUUUUCUUUGUGCAAAAAUUAUUUUAUGGGGUGUUGUCCAACUUGACUCUUUUUCACUCAAUUUUUUUCUUCUUUUGAGUAUCACAUUAAUGCAUGAGUCUUUGACUUAGGCAAGUGCUUAUACUUCAUUUCUAUUUUUCAUUUCUUUUCUCUUUUUUUCGGUAGAAGCAGAUGUUUCUACACACUUUUUAUUUUCUUUUUGUUGCACUUUCCCUUUUUCAAAAUUUCUUAUAAGGAUCACCACCCCAAACUUAUCUUUUUGCACGAAUUUUACACUACAAUAGUCAUGCCGAGCGAG
rnacentral:lncRNA from 1 species